rnacentral:lncRNA from 13 species
GGCGGCGGCGGCAGCGGCGGCUGGAAGUUCGGUGGAGGAAGUGGAGGAUUUGGCGGCGGUGGAUACGGUGGCAGCAGCGGGUGGAAGUUCGGUGGUGGAAGUGGCGGAUUCGGCGGCGGAGGAUACGGUGGUAGCAGCGGCUGGAAAUUCGGUGGUGGAAGUGGCGGAUUCGGCGGCGGUGGAUGGAAACUCGGUGGAGGCGGCGGAUACGGAGGCGGCGGCGGUGGAGGCUGGUGGUAACUCACGGUGCUCACGAACAAAGGGAGCGAAAUUCGCUCGCUGAUCAUCCGCGCGUAUCUCGGCCCGUAAGCAUCGAUCGCCGUCGAUAAGGAAAUCAACCAGCGUCUGACUCUCUCUCUCUCUCUGAGUCUUCGACCUUCGUCAGAGGAUCCGCCCGCCAUCGAAAGAUGCCAAAAAAAGAAAAAAAAAGAAAGAACGCCAAAAUCGGGACAUUGCGUGAGGCAGAAGCGAGCGAAUUGUCCGGUAUCGCUACGAAUGAAUCCGCAAGGAAAGGCGUCCCAGCGUACACGCACGUACGAGACCUUCGUCCUCUCCGUUACCCUUCACCUACCAAGUACUGGGAUAUCUCUUUGGAAACAGCUAACGAUAUCGUCGCCUCGCUUCCGGCCAUUCGAACUUGCCACCGAAACGACUUCCUUCUCGACGGCGCGUUUUCUCUUCGCGUCCCGUCGCUCGCCUCCCGCUUCUUCCUUCGCAAUCCGGAAAAUCAGCGAGCAUUCCAUUUACGAGCGAAUCGUGCGCCCUGAUAUUUCAAUUCCACGUAUGAACAUUCGUCCACCCCUCACCUCCCCCUCCAUUUGCCCAAUCCGCGUGCUCUCUUUCGAGGAUCGGAGGCGUCGGAGCAAGGCAGCCCACCGGCACGACAUUUAGCCCGUUGCGAACACGUAGAGCAAAACCCGUGUAACUCCCCGGGGUAUUAUCUCGGAUAUCUCGAACACGGACGAGCGACAGAGUGACGAAAACCUGCAAAAUUACACCCGGUGAAAAAUAAAGCGCAGUGAUCCACACGCACACUUUUCUCCUUUCCCUCCCCUCAAUUGUCUGUACCACCCGCUCGAUUCAACGAUCCACAAUAAACGAGUCAUACUGAUAGAA